AUGUGUGUGUGUGUGUGUGUGUGUGUGCACGUGCAUUCCUGUGGAUUUGUGUGUAUGUGGAUUUGUUUAUGUGUGUGUGCAUUCCUGUGGAUUUGUGUGUAUGUGGAUUUGUGUGUGUGUGUGCAUUCCUGUGGAUUUGUGUGUAUGUGGAUUUGUGUGUGUGUGUGUGUGCGUGCAUUCCUGUGGAUUUGUGUGUAUGUGGGUUUGUGUGCAUGUGUAUGUGUUCCUGUGGAUUUGCGUGUAUGUGGGUUUGUGUUGUGUGUGCGCGUUCCUGUGGAUUUGUGUGUAUGUGGGUUUGUGUGUGUGUGUAUGCAUUCCUGUGGAUUUGUGUGUGUGUGUGUGCGUUCCUGUGGAUUUGUGUGUAUGUGGGUUUGUAUGUGUGUGUGUGUGUGUGCGUGUGCAUUCCUGUGGAUUUGUGUGUAUGUGGAUUUGUGUGUGUGUGUGUGUGUGUGCAUUCCUGUGAAUUUGUGUGUAUGUGGGUUUUUUUUGGUGUGUGUGUGUAUGUGCAUUCCUGUGAAUUUGUGUGUAUGUGGGUUUGUGUGUGUGUGUGCGUUCCUGUGGAUUUGUGUGUAUGUGCGUUCCUGUGGAUUUGUGUGUAUGUGGGUUUGUUUGUGUGUGUGUGUGCGUUCCUGUGGAUUUGUGGGUUUGUGUGUGUGUGUGUGUGUGUGUGCGUGUUCCUGUGGAUUUGUGUGUAUGUGGGUUUGUGUGUGUGUGUGUGUGCGUUCCUGUGGAUUUGUGUGUAUGUGGGUUUGUGUGUGUGUGCGUGAGUUCCUGUGGAUUUGUGUGUAUGUGGGUUCGUUUAUGUGUGUGCACAAGCGUAGGAACACAGUCGCUCUCCGGGGCUUAGCAAAGAGCUGGCCGCGCCUGCUGCGUGUCGAGGCUCCACGCCCUCAGUCCAGUUGUAAGACGGACGAAAGUGCUCUGCUGACAAAGUGAGCGGAGAGUGAGGUGUGCAGUGAGAGGUUGGAGGUUUUCACUCAUCACUUUAUGUUGUGUUCCCCCC
rnacentral:lncRNA from 1 species